AGAGUUUGAUCCUGGCUCAGGAUGAACGCUGGCGGCGUGCCUAAUACAUGCAAGUCGAACGAUCUCGCAAGAGAGAGUGGCGACCGGGUGCGUAACACGUAGCUGACCUGCCCCUCAGCGGGGGACAACUGUUGGAAACGACAGCUAAUACCGCAUGAUCUUGGGAAUUCUAAAGGUUCCUAAGUAAACUUCCGGGGCUG
rnacentral:rRNA from 1 species